UACGGGGGGGGGCAAGCGUUGUUCGGAAUUACUGGGCGUAAAGGGCUCGUAGGCGGCCAACUAAGUCGGAUGUGAAAUCCCCCAGGCUUAACCUGGGAACUGCAUCCGAUACUGGAUGGCUUGAAUCCGGGGAGAGGGAUGGCGGAAUUCCAGGUGUAGCGGUGAAAUGCGUAGAUAUCUGGAGGAACACCGGUGGCGAAGGCGGCAUCCUGGACCGGCAUUGACGCUGAGGAGCGAAAGCCAGGGGAGCAAACGGGG
rnacentral:rRNA from 1 species